GAGAAAUUCACAAAAUUUCAAAGAAUCAAGUGACAAAAGGUGGUGAAUCCUCCGGUAAGGGCAAAGAAGUUGUACUCGAAGAUCAAUAGUUGGAGUACUCCAAAAGAAUUCGAACUCCCGAUAUUAUUGGUCAUUGCAGUUGCGGGGUUCUGUGGACCAGCCUAUUAGAGGGGCACGAAAUUCGGUUAUAUUCUUACCUUGGUCGAAGAGGCGC